GUGGGGAGACGAUAGAAGACGAGAAAACCAGAGUAGGAAUCGGAGAAGUCAAACGCCAUACAUGGAGGCACCGUCGCGGCAACCACCACCGCUGCAUCCUGCAAUCGCACCGCUAUCUUACUUUCUGGGGACAUGGCGAGGCCAAGGUGAAGGUGCCUAUCCCACCAUCUCAUCCUUUCCCUACGGUGAGGAGCUCCAUUUCUCCCAUUCUGGAAAGCCUGUGAUAGCUUAUACUCAGAAGACAUGGAAGCUUAAUUCCGGAGAGCCUAUGCACGCCGAAAAUGGGUAUUGGCGUCCUAAGCCUGAUGGCAGUAUCGAAGUUGUCAUUCCUCAAAGCACUGGCCUUGUUGAGGUUCAGGUGAUUUGAUGAUGAAUAGGCAGAUGGUCUUGUGAAUAACAUGAAACACGGAAAGGGCAAUUGGUCUGUUGUUUCUGCUCACCAGUGCCAUACAGGGGUAUGCUGUCAAGAUGGUCCAGUCAUAUAAGAAAGCCUAAACUCUUCAUCAUUUAGGAUGGGAAUAAUUCUCAAAAUUGCACAUUUGGCCACCAAUCCUUUGAAGUUAGAUAUCAGGAAUCAUCCAGUUUGAGGACCUUCAGAUGCUGGUCAUAUUCAAUAGAAGUUUCAUCUUUUCAUGCAGAAAGAUCAUCAAGGUGAAGGAGAUAAAUCGAGUAUUCAGAUUGGUGGACAGAGAAUUAUCGUAUGUAGUUCAGAUAGCUAACCUUGUAGGUCUGAAACCACAUCUGAAAGCAGUGCUCAAGAAGCUCUGAUGGGAAAUAUUUCUGGCUUUCCUCAUAAGAGAUUAGAAACUCAUUAUACUUGUUUCCUUUUCCUUUUCCACCUCAAACUGUCGUUAUAUUUGCUUGUUAAUAUAGUCCUUUUAUUUAAUUUAUUAGUAUAGUUUCUCUAAAUUUCUGUAUUUAAUUUGGUUCAAUCUUAAUUUUAUUCUA